GACGAACGCUGGCGGCGUGCUUAACACAUGCAAGUCGAGCGGUAAGGCCCUUCGGGGUACACGAGUGGCGAACGGGUGAGUAACACGUGGGUGAUCUGCCCUGCACUUCGGGAUAAGCCUGGGAAACUGGGUCUAAUACCGGAUAGGACUCCUGCCUGCAUGGGUGGGGGUGGAAAGCUUUUGCGGUGUGGGAUGGGCCCGCGGCCUAUCAGCUGGUUGGUGGGGUGAUGGCCUACCAAGGCGACGACGGGUAGCCGGCCUGAGAGGGUGACCGGCCACGCUGGGACUGAGACACGGCCCAGACUCCUACGGGAGGCAGCAGUGGGGAAUAUUGCACAAUGGGCGCAAGCCUGAUGCAGCGACGCCGCGUGAGGGAUGACGGCCUUCGGGUUGUAAACCUCUUUCAGCACCGACGAAGCGCAAGUGACGGUAGGUGCAGAAGAAGGACCGGCCAACUACGUGCCAGCAGCCGCAGUAA
rnacentral:rRNA from 1 species